AUUGAACGCUGGCGGCAGGCCUAACACAUGCAAGUCGAACGAGUGGCGGACGGGUGAGUAAUGUCUGGGAACCUGCCUGAUGGAGGGGGAUAACUACUGGAAACGGUAGCUAAUACCGCAUACCAUCGGAUGUGCCCCGAUGGGAUUAGCUAGUAUGUGGGGUAAAGGCUCACCUGGGCGACGAUCCCUAGCUGGUCUGAGAGGCUGACCAGCCAAACUGGAACUGAGAAACGGUCCAGAAUCCUAGGGGAGGCAGCAGUGGGGAAUAGUGCACAAUGGGCGCAAGCCUGAUGAAGACAUGCCGCGUGUAUGAAGAAGGCUUUCGGGUUGUAAAGUACUUUCAGCGGGGAGGCGUUACCCGCAGAAGAAGCACCGGCUAACUCCGUGCCAGCAGACGCGGUAAUUC
rnacentral:rRNA from 1 species